CCUACGGGAGGCAGCGGUAGGGAAUCUUCCACAAUGGACGAAAGUCUGAUGGAGCAACGCCGCGUGUGUGAUGAAGGCUUUCGGCUCGUAAAACACUGUUGUAAGAGAAGAAUGACAUUGAGAGUAACUGUUCAGUGUGUGACGGUAUCUUCCGAGAAAGGAACGGCUAAAUACGUGCCAGCAGCCGCGGUAAUACGUAUGUUCCAAGCGUUAUCCGGAUUUACUGGGCGUAAAGCGCACGCAGGCGGUUUGUUAAGUCCGAAGUGAAAGCCCACAGCUUAACUGGGGAAGUGCUUUGGAAACUGGAUAGCUUGAGUGUAGUAGAGGAGGGUGGAACUCCAUGUGUAGCGGUGAAAUGCGUAGAUAUAUGGAGGAACACCGGUGGCGAAGGCGGCUCUCUGGACUGUGACUGACGUUGAGGCUCGAAAGUGUGGGUAGCAAACAGGAUUAGAUACCCCGGUAGUC
rnacentral:rRNA from 1 species